AGAGUUUGAUCCUGGCUCAGGAUGAACGCUAGCUACAGGCUUAACACAUGCAAGUCGAGGGGUAGCAGGGUAGCAAUACCGCUGACGACCGGCGCACGGGUGAGUAACACGUAUCCAACCUUCCCAUAACUCAGGGAUAGCCUUUCGAAAGAAAGAUUAAUACCUGAUAGUACUUUUUCAAGGCAUCUUGAGAAAGUUAAAGAUUUAUUGGUUAUGGAUGGGGAUGCGUUCCAUUAGAUAGUUGGUGAGGUAACGGCUCACCAAGUCUUCGAUGGAUAGGGGUUCUGAGAGGAAGGUCCCCCACAUUGGUACUGAGACACGGACCAAACUCCUACGGGAGGCAGCAGUGAGGAAUAUUGGUCAAUGGGCGAGAGCCUGAACCAGCCAAGUAGCGUGAAGGAAUGAAGGUCCUAUGGAUUGUAAACUUCUUUUAUAGUAGAAUAAAGUGAUCCACGUGUGGAUUUUUGUAUGUAUACUAUGAAUAAGGAUCGGCUAACUCCGUGCCAGCCGCCGC
rnacentral:rRNA from 1 species